rnacentral:rRNA from 1 species
GACGAACGCUGGCGGCGUGCCUAAUACAUGCAAGUAGAACGCAGUUGCGAACGGGUGAGUAACGCGUAGGUAACCUGCCGCAUAGCGGGGGAUAACUAUUGGAAACGAUAGCUAAUACCGCAUACUGUGAGAUGGACCUGCGUUGUAUUAGCUAGUUGGUGAGGUAAAGGCUCACCAAGGCGACGAUACAUAGCCGACCUGAGAGGGUGAUCGUCCCCACUGGGACGGAGACACGGCCCAGACUCCUACGGGAGGCAGCAGUAGGGAAUCUGCGGCAAUGGGCGCAUGCCUGAUGCAGCCAUGCCGCGUGUAUGAAGCAGGCCUUCGGGUUGUAAAGUACUUUCAGCGGGGAGGCGUUACCCGCAGAAGAAGCACCGGCUCACUCCAUGCCAGCAGCCGCGGUAAUAC